UGGGGCGUCGCCAAGUGGUAAGGCAACGGGUUUUGGUCCCGCUAUGCGGAGGUUCGAAUCCUUCCGUCCCAG
rnacentral:tRNA from 1 species